rnacentral:rRNA from 1 species
UACGUAGGGUGCAAGCGUUGUCCGGAAUUAUUGGGCGUAAAGAGCUCGUAGGCGGUCUGUCGCGUCGGCUGUGAAAACCCGGAGCUCAACUCCGGGCCUGCAGUCGAUACGGGCAAACUGGAGUGUUGCAGGGGAGACUGGAAUUCUCGGUGUAGCGGUGAAAUGCGUAGAUAUCGAGAGGAACACCUGCGGCGAAGGCGGGUUGCUGGGCCGACACUGACGCUGAAGCGCGAAAGCCAGGGGAGCGAACGGG